rnacentral:lncRNA from 1 species
CUUCCCAGUAAGCUUCUGCUAGUAUUUAGGUACUAGUGCAGCCUAGGCCCCUUUUCUCAGGGAUAGCCUAACAUCUGACCGCACCCUCUUUGCUUUUUAAAAAAUGCCUUUUCACUCUUUAAGAUAAAUCCUCUAUUAUACAAUCUGCCACUAAUUGUGUGUUAAGACUGUUUUUCUCUCGAAAGCUGACGCAUCCUGCUCUCAACAUGAUCUAGAAAGCAGGCUGUUACAGUACUGGAUUAAUAAAAGGGGCCUUUAUGGUUUGUGAAAGAAUAUCUCUGUGCUUAGGCAGGAAACUUUUUGAUCCACAGCAAAGCCAGACGACAUCUAGAGCAAGAGAGGCCAACUUGAAGAGCAUGCAUAUUGUGAUACCCUCAGUGGUGUCUUUUACAAUAUGUUCUGCUCCAGCCAGUGAAUUUUCUUCAACUGGCCAGGUAAGCAAAAUGGUUAUUUAUGCUUAUUAAUGUGCUUAUUUAUAUGUCAUAUUUUUAUUUUUUUUUUAGAAAAAUAUUUUCCAGACAUUUGACAACUAAUU